UCCCUGAUGUCUCAGAUGGUAAAGAAUUUGCCUGCAAUGUGGGAGACCCAGGUUCGAUCCCUGGGUUGGGAA
rnacentral:tRNA from 1 species